rnacentral:rRNA from 1 species
GUCUCUUUGAAAAUUAUUAAUAAAGAGUUGGGCCUGCUCGGUGAGAAGAAAAAUUUAACAGCUGCGGUAUUAUAACUGUACUAAGGUAGCAUAAUAAUUUGCCUUAUAAAUUAAGGCUAGAAUGAAUGGUUUGACGAAAAUUAGACUGUCUUUAUUUUAUUUGUUAGAAAUUAAUUUUUAUAGUGAAAAAGCUUGAAUAAUUUAAGGGGACGAGAAGACCCUAUUGAGCUUUAUUUAUUAAUAUUUAAAUAUAAAUAUAUAAUUUAUAUUAUGAAAAUUAUGUUGUAUAUAUAUAUAUAUUUAAUUGGAUUUAAUUUUGAUUGGGGUGAUCAAGGAAUAAAGAUAAAGUAACUUCCUUAAAAUUAAUGAUUGUUUUUAUAGAGUAAUAAACCAAGUUUUUUGCUUAUAAGAUAAGUUACCAUAGGGGUAACAGCGUAAUUUUUUUUGAGAGUUCAUAUUGAAAAAAGAGAUUGCGACCUCGAUGUUGGAUUAAAAAUUACCUUAAGGUGUAGAGGCUUUGUUAGGUGAAUCUGUUCGAUUUUUAAAAUUUU